GCGCAGAUGGUGUAGUGGUAUUCUGCAAGAUUCCCAUUCUUGUGACUCGGGUUCGAUUCCCGGACCGGCGCA